UCCUUCCUCAUCCAUCCUCCAUUGUCUUGAUUGAUAGAAAAUGCCAUGGUGGAAUCUUUGGGGUCAUUCAUACUUGAUUCUACCAGACUUUGAUACAAAACCCCUCAGAAGCCUAGAAAGUCAUCAGUCAUUUUUGGAUAACAUAUAACCAAUGAUCUAUUACCCUCUUCUUGGAAACAGGCUUCCAGACAACUAAAGGGUCAAGGAGAAAACCAAGGAUAUGGAAGCAGAGCAAGGGUCUGAUCACAUUUCUCAUUGACUUUGGGAGCCCAUUGAUCGGGGGCCAGUAGAGACCAGCUGCAAUGUCUGGUAAUGCUGCUGAAAUUGUUCUGAGGAGUAGCAACCAGUUGAGGGAAUUCUCCAAAAUCCAAGACAAGAACUCCUCCACAAAUUGUGACUUCAAAUCAUUGUGAAUGAGACCAGCGUGCAUCAGCAGAACAUCUGAUGGCCAACUAUCAGUAGGUGCAUCUGAUUGGAUCUGGUCACAGAAGAUACUUUGCGAAGUAUUCGGAUGAAUCAACAACCGAGAAUCACCGCCAGGAAGGAGGAACUGCCACACCUUCCUUUGUUUAUGUUUCCUAGCUGUGGCCUACACAAACCCACAUUCAGCCUGACAGAGAGCGGGAUCGGUGCUUUCCGGAACCUACUGAAAAACUGGAAUUCAUCUGUGUCCUCAGUUCCCCCGAUUGGCUCACUUUAUGAUGGUUUCUGUCUGAAUACAAAGUCUCCGUGGUUCCUGCAAGUCCUUGCUGUCUGAUUCAUUGCUGUUGCUCUGAGAUCUAUCAUCAACUACCAAAUCUUGAAAAUUUGCAAGAAAUUGAAAGCUCUCCAGGGGAGACAGGGAAGGGAAAUAAAUGUAUCCUCAGAUGCCCUCGCUCACUCAAUCUGACAAGCGUAGAUUAUGUUGUUUGAAAUACUUUCCAGACUGCUAGGAAGUGUCCCCAAGUGGGGGGCAUGAAGGGAAUAAAGCCUUUGUACCAUCGGACACUGCCUCACUGUUUAUGAAAUCACAGUUUGGAAAUGAAAGACUUAUUAAAUCAUCUGGCCCAUGCUGCUAGGACAGACUUUUCUCAUUCUCAUCCUUCAUCUUGGCCAGUGAGUGGUAUUUGGGGUUUGACUGAUCCCAAGAGCUUGUGUGUAGCAAGGCUGCUGGAGGUCAAAGUUUUUCAUCCUUACCAAGCUGGAGACAAAAUUUUCAUUUUGUAUGAAGUUCCUCAAAUGAUAGAGCUGGUCAUCAGUCAACUCCAUCUGUUUCUUAGAAAAGCAGAAAGUUGGACUUGGAUGGAACACCAGAGAAGGCUGUAUCAUAUGACAGAACAUAUUGAUGCUUCCAUUUCAACUCAAGAUUUGGUUGUUUCUGAUGCGAAUGAAACAAAGAUCACAUAGUGGGUAUGCUUUACUCAGCAUCCUCAGCAUCUCAGCAUCCUCAGCAUCCUCAGCAUCCUCAGCAUCUCAGUAUCUCAGCAUCCUCAGCAUCUCAGCAUCCUCAGCAUCCUCAGCAUCCUCAGCAUCUCAGUAUCUCAGCAUCUCAGCAUCCUCAGUAUCUCAGCAUCCUCAGCAUCUCAGCAUCCUCAGCAUCCUCAGCAUCCUCAGCAUCUCAGCAUCCUCAGCAUCCUCAGCAUGCUCAGCAUCCUCAGCAUCUCAGCAUCCUCAGCAUCCUCAGCAUCUCAGCAUCCUCAGCAUCCUCAGCAUCCUCAGCAUCCUCAGCAUCCUCAGCAUCUCAGCAUCCUCAGCAUCCUCAGCAUCCUCAGCAUCUCAGCAUCCUCAGCAUCCUCAGCAUCCUCAGCAUCCUCAGCAUCCUCAGCAUCUCAGCAUCCUCAGCAUCUCAGCAUCCUUAGCAUCCUCAGCAUCCUUAGCAUCUGUCCCCAGGAUUAGUGCAUUACUACACAAUAUCUGGAAAAGAUUCCUGUUCUCCCCACAUGUUUCACUGUCUUCGAUGUCACUGAGUCCUUUGUCCUUCUCUUUAUUGUAAUGGUUUGUCUUCUCAAGUAGCUUCAGCUUAACUACCGGGCUAUGAAACAAAAUUGUACAAAGCUUCCAUGGUUGCCCUUCCACAGUAAAGUUCUGUUAUGGUGUCAAUAAAAACAUUUUGAAGUUAUUUGAAAAUUUAGCUUACAAAACUCACCAAAUGGUUUAUGCAUCUUCUUGAGUUUCAUGUGUUUUGUAAAUUGUAUCUUAGGUAGUCUAAGUUUCUGGGCUACUAUCCACUUAUCAGUGAGUUUAUGUGGUUUGGUUUAUGUGGCUGAAAUACAACCGUCAUAACAGCCCAGGUUGGUAUGUACUAUCUACGCCUGUGUUGGUUUGAAUAGAAAUGGGCUACAUAGACUCAUGUACUUGAAUGCUUGGCCCACAGGGAGUGG